rnacentral:rRNA from 1 species
GAUGAACGCUAGCGGCAGGCCUAAUACAUGCAAGUCGAGGGGCAGCGCGGUAGCAAUACUGGCGGCGACCGACGCACGGGUGCGUAACACGUAUGCAACCUACCUUCAACUGGAGGAUAGCCCGGGGAAACUCGGAUUAAUACUCCAUAACACAGGGAUCCCGCAUGGGAAUAUUGUUAAAGCUACGGCGGUUGAAGAUGGCAUGCGUUCGAUUAGCUAGUUGGUGUAGGUAACGGCUCACCAAGGCUACGAUCGAUAGGGGGUCUGAGAGGAUGAUCCCCACACUGGUACUGAGAUACGGACCAGACUCCUACGGGAGCAGCAGUAGGAAUAUUGGUCAA